rnacentral:rRNA from 1 species
AUUGAACGCUGGCGGCAGGCCUAACACAUGCCAGUCGAGCGAGCGGAGGACGGGUGAGUAAUAUAUGGGGAACUGCCUGAUUGAGGGGGAUAACUACUGGAAACGGUAGCUAAUACCGCAUACCAUCGGAUGUGACCAUAUGGGAUUAGCUAGUGGUUGAGGUAAAGGCUCACAAAGGAGACGAUCCCUAGCUGGUCUGAGAGGAUGACCAGCCACACUGGGACUGAGACACGGCCCAGAGUCCUACGGGAGGCAGCAGUGGGGAAUAUUGCACAAUGGGCGCAAUCCUGAUGCAGCCAUGCCGCGUGUGUGAAGAAGGCCCUAGGGUUGUAAAGUACUUUCAGUCGGGAGGCGUUAACGACAGAAGAAGCACCGGCUAACUCCGUGCCAGCAGCCGCGGUAAUAC